rnacentral:lncRNA from 1 species
GUUGGAAAACAUGUUGUUGCUUGGUUGAUCAUAGCCUUGAUAACCCCAAGCAUCUUCGUUCACAAUGAAUUGAGGAUGUUGAUGAGUUUGAUAUCCGUGCCCAUAAGGCACACCACAUGUAGGGACAUUUUGCAUUGUAGUCCUUCCGGCAAUCUGUGACAAUUGAGAAGCCAAUUGAGCUUGAAUGUUAGCAAAAUCCAUGUCUUACUUCUCAAGACACUGAAAUCAAAGAAAACUAAAUCAAAUAUCAAAAGUAACACAAAACAAGGAAAACAAAACUAAGUCAGAAACUAAAACAAAAACAAACUAAACAAAAAGAAAAGAACCAAGGGAUUAGCAAAGUUGCUAAUCCCCGGCAACGGCGCCAAAAUUUGAUGUGAGAAUUACUUGACACACAAAUUAAACCCUCUUUUUGACAGUUGUAGUAUAGAUGUAAGUAGGGUAUCGUUCUA